GCUCAUCCAGCAACCGACGCCCAUGACUCCAGUUCCGAUCCGUUCCCCUUCUAUCUCCUCUUCUUCCCUGGCAGAGCAAAGCAACGGCCGCCGCGGAUGUUCUACCUCGAUUCUCCCCCGAUACAUUUUGCCGAUCCGCCAUAAUCCGUGGCAAAGGUGGCUCGUCGACAAGGAUCAGGCGAUGGAGUAGAUGAAGCUGGCAGUCGAGAAGAACCCAAGGCCCGCAUCAAGGAGACCAAGAGCAAAUGGGAUGCGUUCAAGACUUCAAGCGGAUCAAGAAGAUUCGUGUGUUUGGAUGGGGCUCGCAGGUAAUAAAGGAUCCGGUAAUACAUGAUCGUAUAGGAGCAAUCGAUCCCGAGACGGCAGCGGCGGCAGCAGCACCCAUGCAAGUUCAGCAGUUGCCAAAACAACCUAGAGCCAAUCAGGAUUAGGAGUCUAGGACGGCAUAUUCAGUUCAGAUUUUAUUAUUCCUUCGUUACUGGUACAACUGGUAUGUAAUAUUGGCUUGCAAAGACUUGCUUCAGGGUUAAAGAUAUUGACGGGUACCUUAUUUCAGGACAAUGAAAAUCCUAAAUCUGGGUGCUAGCUAUCUGGUAAAUCAUACAUGGUCUACUCAAUGUCAGUCUCGUUACUAUAUUAUCACAACUUCAACACUAAAGAUUAGCAACCUCACUUGACCUUAUUAAAUAAAUAUCUAGCAGUAAUUUUUUUUGACGGCUCUCUGUUUCAGUUAUAGUUACUUAACUAUCAAUAUUUUACUUAUGGGUAUCACAGGGAAGCUUGGAUCCAAUUCCUACACUAUGAGAAGCUAUUUCUAUUGAUGGCAAAGGAAAGUAUGUACCUUUUGGAAGUACAAAAUAAUCUCUAGAUCUCACCUUUUUUCCUUUUCUUUUGCUAUAUGUAGAGAUUACAUGGUACUUCUCCAAGGUGAGUAGCGAACAUGUCUUCUGGCUUCUUGAUCCCAAACCUUGCACAAGUAGAAGCAUAACUCUGGUCUAAUGGCUUAUCUUAAUCUCCCUGUUGGUCUGAACUGGCAUAACAUUCUGAUUGAUUGAAGAUGCACAAUAAGUUUUAAUGCCAAGCUAUUUCUUGUACUGCAAAGGUUCCGCAUCAUCACACCAAACCUGUAGGAAUCACCAGCCUUCCCUGAGCGUCGCCGUUGACCACGUCUGAGUUGUCGCUCCUCCAACUUCCGCGGCAAUGACAUGUUUGUAGUAUCCGGGAUAUACAUCACAAUGUUUGAAUGCGGUAAGUAACAUCCUCUCUUCGUUCUGUUAUCUAUGAACUACUUGACAACACUUUUGGUUGAUUGCGCCCCUGGCUUCCUCCAGCAAUGAUAAAUGGAUCUUGGUCAUCAGCGAUUGGCUCGGCAGAUCAUGGCCAAAAUUGAUUUUAUCCUUAGCCUGCUUUUGAAGAACCACCCCACUAUAUGUU